GUCCUAGCCGUAAACGGUGCACGUUUGCUGUAAAGGAAUCGACCCCUUUGUGGCGUAGCUAACGCGUUAAACGUGCCGCCUGGGAAGUACGGUCGCAAGAUUAAAACUCAAAGAAAUUGACGGGGCCUGCACAAGCGGUGGAGUAUGUGGCUCAAUUCGAUGCAACGCGAAGAACCUUACCUGGCCUUGACAUGCAUAUAGUAGAAGGGUGAAAGCCUGACGAGGUAGCAAUACCAGUAUGCACAGGUGCUGCAUGGCUGUCGU
rnacentral:rRNA from 1 species